rnacentral:rRNA from 1 species
UAGGGAAUCUUCCACAAUGGACGCAAGUCUGAUGGAGCAACGCCGCGUGAGUGAAGAAGGUCUUCGGAUCGUAAAACUCUGUUGUUGGUGAAGAAGGAUAGAGGCAGUAACUGGUCUUUAUUUGACGGUAAUCAACCAGAAAGUCACGGCUAACUACGUGCCAGCAGCCGCGGUAAUACGUAGGUGGCAAGCGUUGUCCGGAUUUAUUGGGCGUAAAGCGAGCGCAGGCGGAAUGAUAAGUCUGAUGUGAAGCACCAGGCUCAACCGUGGAACUGCAUCGGAAACUGUCAUUCUUGAGUGCAGAAGAGGAGAGUGGAACUCCAUGUGUAGCGGUGGAAUGCGUAGAUAUAUGGAAGAACACCAGUGGCGAAGGCGGCUCUCUGGUCUGCAACUGACGCUGAGGCUCGAAAGCAUGGGUAGCGAACAGGAUUAGAUACCCUGGUAGUCCAUGCCGUAAACGAUGACGCGCUAGGUGUUGG